AAAUCGAAAUUAAUUUAAUUUAAUAUACCACCAUACAAAUUGUAUGAUACCUAAACCAGACAUAGCCCUUUUCCACCAAAACCGAAAAUGUUACGAUUUCGAUUAAGUUAGGUUAUAAUAAAUAUUUUUUGUAUAAAGAUGUUUCAGCCAAAUAUUAUUUGGGAACCAACCUUAUGAAAUACCUUAAAUUAAUAAUAUGUUAUUUAAAAAUUACUUAAUAUCCAUAAUAUUUAAUUAUUUCAAAAGGUCAUAGCAAAAUAAUACCUAAUACAAGUAGUAAGAAUAAAUUGUAAGGUAUAGUAAUAAUUAGGGCACGGGUUUUGUCAUCAAAAGGUAUUAAAAUUGAUUGCUGAAUUGUCCUAGAAAAUACCAUAAAUUUCGUUUAAAAAUUAAAAAAUAACAACCUUAUUUUACCUCCUAUUUUCAUGAGUAACAUUGCUCUUUUAUUUUUUAACACAGUUUAUACUUAGUCACAAUGUAAACAUUAAUACUUUGAUAAGUUGAUUUUUUUGGGAGUUUGUCUAGAAUUUUGUUUAUCUCUCAUCUUCUUUCCUUUAUACGUUUCUGAGUACAUAAUAUGAUCUUGAUGUUUUAUGCCUCAUUCUGAAACUAGUUAAACGCUAAGGAAUAUAAAUAAAAGCAAUAUUUUGCUCAUUCAACGAAUGCAUUCAAGGUUAGUGUUUUUUCCCGGUUUUUCACAUUUGCCUGGAAAACUUGAGAAAAUCGAAAAAUGGCUUCCCUGUAGUACCUUCCCAGUCAAAUUUCCUUUUAGAAACAUUGCUAUUACUAUAAAUUAGAGCAAAAUUGAUGGAGUUGCGCACAGAUAAAAAUUGACACGACCACAAAAUAACAUUAAACAUGAUAUCCCAGCAUCUAUAUCAGAGAGACCAGAAUCAAUUUUUAAAUAACUGGCAUAAGGUUUUUGAGAGACAGUUCUUAUAUAUUUCCGUGGCAUUGGUAAUGAAAACCAAUCGUGCAAAUAAAAAAAAUACCUAGUAAAUAUGUAGGUACUUGAUGAGUAUAAUUUACAUACUUAAAUAAUGAUUUGACUACCUAUAAAUGUAUAAAUAAUAUAAACAAAAUUAAUGAAACAAUUGGGUGUUCCUAAUCACUCCAUUUUAUCCAAAAACUAAGACUAGGUAGUCAAAUUAAAAAGCCCUAUAACUGAAAAUAAUAAUGCGAUUUUUAUGAAAUAAACGUAAACCCUCAUUAAUAUAUUUUUGAAAAAAAAAACGUUCUAGACAAUGAAUUAUCAGCGAUAAGAUAAUGGAAUUGCAACAAUAUGCAAAAUAGAUAUUAUUGAAAUAUUAUUUAGUACAACUGGGAAAAUCGCCACAUUACACAAAUAUUAUUAUAGUUAAUAUGUAAAGCCUAUUUAAUUGUUUUACUGUAAAAUGACAUAUAUAUUGUUGACAAAGCAUCACUAUCAACUGAACUUCGC